rnacentral:lncRNA from 1 species
AGGGUGCUUUAAUAUAAUUGUGAACAUUAUUUCCAUUUUUACUGCUGAGAAGUGCUUCUUUUCUUUUACAAAAAAAAAACCACGUGUCAUUCUCUCAAUCCUAUUUAGCUAACCUGGAGGUCUGGGCUACAGAGACGAUGAGAAAGGUGUGGAAGAUCCAAAAGUAGAAGAGGUGAUGGUGAACAAGACGAAGAAGAACUGGUGAAGAAAUUCAAGGAAGAAGCUGCCGCUGUUGAUAAAGCAUAUCGUGAAUU